rnacentral:rRNA from 1 species
AUGAUUCGGCCUCCCUCCAACCAUUGUCAUCAUAAAAUACAAGAAAGCACUCGCUUCAAUCCAUAUUUCAAGGAUUGUGUUGGAGCAAUUGAUGGGACUCAUGUGCUUGCUAGAGUCCCAAAAAGUAUCUCAGCUGCCUUUAGGGGUAGAAAGGUGGGGACUACCCAAAAUGUCAUAGCUGCGGUAGACUUUGAUCUAAAGUUUACCUAUGUACUUGCGGGUUGGGAGGGAUCAACUCAUGAUGCCCUUAUACUUGCAAAUGCAUUGGAGAGGGAAGAUGGGUUGAAAGUUCCUACAGGUAAUAAAUUAGGGCCUACUACCUAA